UUCUCGAGGGGCAACAAAUGCUGGAGUCCGCUAGUGACCCACCCCACAUCCCAGGAAUCAAUUAAAAAGCAGGGAUGUGAAAAGCUCUGUUGGAAACGUGAAUGAGAGCAGUCCAGGAGACUCCCUCCACACAAAAACAUACUCCAUAACAGUUGGACGUGUUCAGACAGGGCAAUUUUAAUUUCCAACAUACCUCAAACUUGGAUGCAAUUUUUUAAAAAAAGGUACCAUCAGCUUUUAAGCAACUUCAAAGAUUAGACACCAACUGUAAGAAAAUGUGACAGCUCAAUGGGGCAGGGCUUGAACGAAAGCAGCUCGAAUCUUUGUAAACAUGAAUCCUCAGCCACAGGUAGGUAUAUGACUCUAGUGCCUUGCCCUAGGCACGUCUGCACAGUCACCACCUCGAGAUUGCAAAACCUGCCCAGUAGUUAGUCUGGAACUCACUAAAGGUAAGUUGAAGCUUUUUUUUUACUUCAGUGAGCUGCAGGAGGGCAAUCAUUUUUAUUAAAAAGAAACCAGAAUCCGGAGUGGACAAACUUCUCCCUGAACGGAAACUGCUUGCAUGUUUGAAAUUGGUGGGAAACGCCCUGCUCAGAGAGAGAAGAGACUGAGAAGCGAGCAGGAAGUCUUCAUUUCUGGCACAUGCUAACGAGGAAAAGACACUUGCUCACCGAUUUACCAGCAACUGUGACCAGGAGCAGCCGGACCCUGGGCGAACUGGGAUGUUGAACGAUGGCGCAGGGGGGCAUCAAGACUUCCAGCGGGGACUACAUAGAUGCAUCAUGGGAGCUGAAGAUCACUGUGGAAGAACUGGGUCCUGAGGCGGAUCCCAUCACCUUGAGAGUGAACGGCGAUGUGCACAUCGGUGGUGUCAUCCUUCAACUUGUGGAGAAAAUCG